UUGGCGGACGGGUGAGUAAUGUAUCGGAACGUGCCCAGUAGCGGGGGAUAACUACGCGAAAGCGUAGCUAAUACCGCAUACGCCCUACGGGGGAAAGCAGGGGAUCGCAAGACCUUGCACUAUUGGAGCGGCCGAUAUCGGAUUAGCUAGUUGGUGGGGUAACGGCUCACCAAGGCGACGAUCCGUAGCUGGUUUGAGAGGACGACCAGCCACACUGGGACUGAGACACGGCCCAGACUCCUACGGGAGGCAGCAGUGGGGAAUUUUGGACAAUGGGGGAAACCCUGAUCCAGCCAUCCCGCGUGUGCGAUGAAGGCCUUCGGGUUGUAAAGCACUUUUGGCAGGAAAGAAACGUCAUGGGCUAAUACCCCGUGAAACUGAC
rnacentral:rRNA from 1 species